UCUUCCUCCUCUGGUCGGUCCACUCCAACGCACUCGACACGGACACACCGUCGCCCUCGCCGUCGUCGACCCAGCCACGGGUGCUUGCCAGGAGACUCGGGAGAGCGUGAGAAGGGGAAGGCGGAGCUCACCAGGAGCUUGUAGUCGACGCAGGGGUGGCAGGGGAGGGCGAGUCUACGAUGGCGGCGCCCGGCGGUUGCUGCCCGAGCAGGGCGAUGACAGGAGGUAGGAGGAGGUUGCGGGGCUCGUCAUGAAGUUGCCCUAUAGCACCGGGGCGUUGAUACGAAGCAGCUGGGGGAGGCGGCGAGGUCUGGCGCUCUACCUCCCGACCAAAUCUAGCUCCGCCUCGCCGAGCAGGCAGGGGAGCGGCCGCGCUGUAGCUCGGCCUCGCCGGAGCGGGAUGGGGCGCGACGUGCAGGAGAUUGUACUCGCCGGAGCGGUCAGACCAAUCCACGGCGCAGUCCAAUGGAAUCCCCAAGCCGUCGACGGGUGGUGGCGCGCCGGGACGGUGGCUGCCGGAGAAGAGGGCGGCCGACGAGAUGCACCGGGCUGCCACUCUAGCACGCCCGCUACCUGUUUGGCAAAAUGCCAAGGAGGCAGAGCAGGGGGUUUGACCGGUCGCAUAACGUCCGUUUGUUUCAUCCAUUUACCCCUGCCACAUGGCACCUGACAGCGGAUCCCACCCGUCAGAUUUUCACUUAAACUUAUUUAACGGAGUGAUUAGUGUUUUUUGCAAACUGUAAGUACAAUAAUGAUGGGUUUUUGAAAAAAAAAUGAAUGAUGGCGGUUUUUUGA